UAGAGUUUGAUCCUGGCUCAGAGCGAACGCUGGCGGCAGGCCUAACACAUGCAAGUCGAACGGACCCUUCGGGGUUAGUGGCGGACGGGUGAGUAACACGUGGGAACGUGCCUUUAGGUUCGGAACAACUCAGGGAAACUUGAGCUAAUACCGAAUGUGCCCUUCGGGGGAAAGAUUUAUCGCCUUUAGAGCGGCCCGCGUCUGAUUAGGUAGUUGGUGGGGUAAAGGCCUACCAAGCCUACGAUCAGUAGCUGGUCUGAGAGGAUGAUCAGCCACAUUGGGACUGAGACACGGCCCAAACUCCUACGGGAGGCAGCAGUGGGGAAUCUUGCGCAAUGGGCGAAAGCCUGACGCAGCCAUGCCGCGUGAAUGAUGAAGGUCUUAGGAUUGUAAAAUUCUUUCACCGGGGACGAUAAUGACGGUACCCGGAGAAGAAGCCCCGGCUAACUUCGUGCCAGCAGCCGCGGUAAUACGAAGGGGGCUAGCGUUGCUCGGAAUUACUGGGCGUAAAGGGAGCGUAGGCGGACAGUUUAGUCAGAGGUGAAAGCCCAGGGCUCAACCCUGGAAUUGCCUUUGAUACUGGCUGUCUUGAGUAUGGGAGAGGUAAGCGGAACUCCGAGUGUAGAGGUGAAAUUCGUAGAUAUUCGGAAGAACACCAGUGGCGAAGGCGGCUUACUGGCCCAUUACUGACGCUGAGGCUCGAAAGCGUGGGGAGCAAACAGGAUUAGAUACCCUGGUAGUCCACGCCGUAACGAUGAGAGCUAGUUGUCGGCAUGCAUGCAUGUCGGUGACGCAGCUAACGCAUUAAGCUCUCCGCCUGGGGAGUACGGUCGCAAGAUUAAAACUCAAAGGGAUUGACGGG
rnacentral:rRNA from 1 species